rnacentral:rRNA from 1 species
GUGGGGAAUCUUAGACAAUGGGGGAAACCCUGAUCUAGCCAUGCCGCGUGAGCGAUGAAGGCCUUAGGGUUGUAAAGCUCUUUCAUCUGGGAAGAUAAUGACUGUACCAGCAGAAGAAGCCCCGGCUAACUCCGUGCCAGCAGCCGCGGUAAUACGGAGGGGGCUAGCGUUGUUCGGAAUUACUGGGCGUAAAGCGCACGUAGGCGGACCGGAAAGUCAGAGGUGAAAUCCCAGGGCUCAACCUUGGAACUGCCUUUGAAACUCCUGGUCUUGAGGUCGAGAGAGGUGAGUGGAAGUCCGAGUGUAGAGGUGAAAGUCGUAGAUAUUCGGAGGAACACCAGUGGCGAAGGCGGCUCACUGGCUCGAUACUGACGCUGAGGUGCGAAAGCGUGGGGAGCAAACAGGAUUAGAUACCCCUGUAGUCC